AGCUCCAAUAGCGUAUAUUAAAGUUGUUGCAGUUAAAAAGCUCGUAGUUGGAUUUCUGUUUUCGCUAACCGGUCCGCCCAUGUAUUUGGGUGCGUACUAUGGUUAGAGGAUUCAUUUUUGCGAGGAUCCUUAUCUGGCAUUAAGUUGCCGGGUUUGUGUACUUGCAUCUUUUACUGUGAAAAAAUUAGAGUGUUUAAAGCAGGCGUUCGCUUACUUGAAUACAUUAGCAUGGAAUAAUAAGAUACGACUUGUGUGGUCUAUUUUGUUGGUUUGCACACGCGAGUAAUGAUUAAUAGGGACAGUUGGGGGUAUUCAUAUUUCAGCGUCAGAGGUGAAAUUCUUGGAUCGCUGAAAGAUGAGCUUAGGCGAAAGCAUUUACCAUGGAUGUUUUCAUUAAUCA
rnacentral:rRNA from 1 species